rnacentral:lncRNA from 1 species
CACACCGGCCACCUCUUCUCCCUCUAAAAAAAUAUUCUUUUUCAAAAAAAACUAACAAGCCAGCUUAUUUUUAUCUUUUAGCUACCGUUUGGUUCGGAGUUAAAAAAAAACUAGUUAUUUUAGGAAUAGGAUUAAGUUCAGGGUUAAGGUGGGGUUAGAAUAUUUUUAUGUUUGGUUCGGAGUUGGAGUUAGUCCAGGAUAGUAAAAAAUAGUGUUUGGUUGGAGUAGGUGGAAUAAAAAUAAUUGUGGAUUAUUAUGAAUAGAAAAUAGUGUUUUGUUGGAGUUCGGUGGAGUUAGGUGGGAUUAGCUAAUCCGGAAUAGCCAAUUUGAGGUGGGGUUAGCUAACCCAUCCAUUUUUGAAAGUGUUUGGGAAUAAUAUGGGGGUUAAGGGGUUAGUCCACCCCUUAACCCCCAACCAAACAAAGGCUUAGAAAUAAACUUGGCUACGCAUAUAUAUAAAAUAAUUUGUUAAGUUUU